GUUGGCUCCAGACAAAUAAACAUGGAGUCCAUCUUCCACGAGAAACAAGAAGGCUCACUUUGUGCUCAACAUUGCCUGAAUAACUUAUUGCAAGGAGAAUAUUUUAGCCCUGUGGAAUUAUCCUCAAUUGCACAUCAGCUGGAUGAGGAGGAGAGGAUGAGAAUGGCAGAAGGAGGAGUUACUAGUGAAGAUUAUCGCACGUUUUUACAGCAGCCUUCUGGAAAUAUGGAUGACAGUGGUUUUUUCUCUAUUCAGGUUAUAAGCAAUGCCUUGAAAGUUUGGGGUUUAGAACUAAUCCUGUUCAACAGUCCAGAGUAUCAGAGGCUCAGGAUCGAUCCUAUGUAAGAUUUUGUUUUGCAUUUCAUACAUUUCUUUUCCCAAAUUUGAUUUUUAAAGUUGUAAUUUCUUAAAGAAGAGAAAUAUAUUUUGAAUACUUUUGUUUUGAUGUUCCCUGUUUCAUUCACUCAGACUUUCCUAUUUCACCUUUGUGAUGUCCAUGAGCAUCUGCCCUGUAGCCUUCCUGGCACCCCAGUGUCUGUGGCAGCUCAGAGCUGACCCAUAAGUGGUGCGUGAGGCCAUCUUUUGGCACGGCAUCACUAAGCUGCUGCAGAGAUGUUCAUAUGGUUGUGUGAUCUUUUAAAAACAUCAGUGACACUUAACUGUAAAUAUAAUCUUAAAUUAUCACAAAUUUUAUAUAAUAUUUGCCA
rnacentral:sRNA from 1 species